rnacentral:rRNA from 1 species
GGGUGAGUAGCACGUGAGCAACCUGCCCCGAAGACCGGGACAACACCGGGAAACCGGUGCUAAUACCGGAUAUCCCCAUCGAGUCGCAUGGCUUGAUGAGGAAAUGGAUUCCGCUUCGGGAGGGGCUCGCGGCCUAUCAGCUUGUUGGUGAGGUAACGGCUCACCAAGGCUUCGACGGGUAGCUGGUCCGAGAGGACGAUCAGCCACACUGGGACUGAGACACGGCCCAGACUCCUACGGGAGGCAGCAGUGGGGAAUCUUGCACAAUGGGCGAAAGCCUGAUGCAGCAACGCCGCGUGAGGGACGAAGGCUUUCUGAGUUGUAAACCGCUUUCACCAGGGACGAAGCGAGAGUGACGGUACCUGGGGAAGAAGCGCCGGCUAACUACGUGCCAGCAGCCGCGGUAAUACGUAGGGCGCGAGCGUUGUCCGGAAUUAUUGGGCGUAAAGAGCUCGUAGGCGGCUGGUUGCGUCUGCUGUGAAAUCCCGGGGCUUAACCCCGGGCGUGCAGUGGAUACGGGCCGGCUGGAGGCAGGCAGGGGAGAAUGGAAUUCCCGGUGUAGCGGUGAAAUGCGCAGAUAUCGGGAGGAACACCGGUGGCGAAGGCGGUUCUCUGGGCCUUACCUGACGCUGAGGAGCGAAAGCGUGGGGAGCGAACAGGAUUAGAUACCCUGGUAGUCCACGCCGUAAACGUUGGGCGCUAGGUGUGGGGUCCUUCCACGGACUCCGUGCCGCAGCUAACGCAUUAAGCGCCCCGCCUGGGGAGUACGGCCGCAAGGCUAAA